rnacentral:rRNA from 1 species
UAGGGAAUCUUCGGCAAUGGACGAAAGUCUGACCGAGCAACGCCGCGUGAGUGAAGAAGGUUUUCGGAUCGUAAAACUCUGUUAGUAGAGAAGAACGUUGGUGAGAGUGGAAAGCUCAUCAAGUGACGGUAACUACCCAGAAAGGGACGGCUAACUACGUGCCAC